rnacentral:rRNA from 1 species
UGCGUAGGUGGCGAGGUAAGUCGGAUGUGAAAGCUCGGAGCUCAACUCCGAAAUGGCAUUGGAAACUACCUUGCUCGAGGGUUGGAGGGGGGACUGGAAUACUUGGUGUAGCAGCGAAAUGCGUAGAUAUCAAGUGGAACACCAGUGGCGAAGGCGAGUCCCUGGACAACUCCUGACACUGAGGCACGAAAGCUAGGGGAGCAAACA